ensembl:lncRNA
GUGAGAGGAUGCAGUGUGUGCACAGGGAGGAUGCAGUGUGCACAUGAAGCUGUUUCCCAGUUCCCAGCGCCGGCUCACGCUGGCUGUGCAGCUCAGCCUGGAGCAGGACUGACUGGAGCAGCAUGUGCACAGGCAGCAGCUCCCCAGUCUGCACGAUAGAGGAGGAAGAAGGAAGAAAACCCGGCCUGGAUCUGUGCUGAGUGCCUGCCUCUCCGGGCCCCUCUCAAGACGCUGAGUCCCUGCCUUCAGCCCCCAGCCUCCCCUGAGCCCACAAGGGUUGGAGGUUGGCUGUAGGCAAGGGUGACUCUCUGGUCGCUCUUGCAGCGCUCUAUGGUUAAAGCCAUUGCUGGGUGGGGGCACCAUUGCUCCAAGCAUUGAGCGGAUCCACACCUCCUACCAGAGGAGGUCAUGGCAUGGCACAGCCCAGCACAGCCCCAGCACCCCGUGCAGCCGAUGCCAGGCUGAGCAGCACACCCAGCCCCUCUCCAGCUCGGCUUCUCCUUGCAGCCUGAGCAAUGAUUUAGCACCCAUUAACCCAUGCAGCUGUAAAUCCCAGCACAGACAGCUCCCAAACAUUCGUUUCAAGCGACACAGUUUGUGUCAUUUUGGGAUUAGUGUUUACUCUCUUGUUAAUUAAUACUUGUUAAAGCGAGGCUAAAAAGAAAGCGUUCGGCUUCUCGCUUCGGUGAAUGGCUCCGUGCCCUCGAGGAGCAGCAUGGCUGGGCUCAGUGCGUGGGGCCACAGCCAGAAAGGAGAAAAAUGGGCUUCAUUUGUACAUGGGGAGGAUGCAGCCUCACACUGGUGGAGGGGAUGAUGGAGCUCCUGCUGCUGCUGCAGCACAGGGGGCACCUCGGGGCCAGAGGGCAUCGUCCCAGCUGGGACUGUGCUGGUGUCAGGGAAACUGUAUGUCAUGCAAGGGGCAGCGGUUUGGAAUAGGAAUUGGAAUUGGAAUAGGAAUGGGAAUGGGAAUACGGAUGGGAACAGGAAUGAGAAUGGGAAUGGGAAUAGGAAUAGGAAUGGGAAGAGGAAGAGGAAUGAGAACAGGAAUGGGAAUAGAAAUGGAAAUGGGAAUAGUAGCAAUAGAAAUAGCAAUAGUUAUAGCAAUAGCAGCAACAACAGCAAUAGCAGCAAUGGCAAUAGUAAUAGCAAUGGUAAUGGUAAUAGUGAUAGUGACAGUGAUGGAGUAAUAAUAACAGCAAUAAGGAGUUAAUUCUUUAUUAACCUUUAUUAAAGAAAAAAAAAGUCCACAACUUUAUGCAACUCUGGGGCAGCCCAGGGUGACCACUUGGCAUCCCUUAAAAUGUGAAAUGGUGCAAGAUUUGGAUCCUACCCCCGGAGUGCUUUCUGGUUUCCAUCAUAUUGGACAGCCCCAGGUGUCCCAGCAGCUGCAGAGCAAACCCUGAGGCCACGACCCUCCGGACACCUCCAGAUCCGAGCCCAAGGCUGGCUGGAAGCAGGAGAAGGGCAGCACCCACUGAUCCUAUGCUGUGCCCUUCAUUUUUCUACGGGGGAGCGGACACAGAAAUAAAGCAGCCCCUCCCCGGCUCGGUGGGGGUGAGGAUGGUGCCAGGCCAAGGGCUGGGGCUGCUGAUGGGGGUCGAGGUGCCCACAGCCCACAGCCCACAGCUGGCGAUGCGCUUGGCGAUGCAGCGCGGCUCGUGCGCGCCAGGAGUGAAUGUUAAUGGUGCCGAGCUCCUGGGAGAAGUGAUCAAAUUCUCCGUCGAAACCAGUGAGGAAAGGAAGGGGAGGGGAGGAGGAGGGGGGGGGGGGGGGGGGGGGGGAGCAGCUCCGCAGAUUAAUUCUGCUGAUGAAAAUUAAAAACGGGCAUCUCCAAACCCAGACCAGGAGCAGCCGCCUCAUUCCCGGUGCCUUCGGUAACCCCAAACCUCCCAGAGGGCGUCCGGGUGCCGCGCCGGGGGAUGCGGCACAGGGCCUCAAGGUGCCACAGUUAGGCACCCCUGGGUGGGACCCCCCUGCACCUCACCUCCCCGCUCCCCUCCGUCCCCUCUUCCCCGCCAGAAUUUGGGUUUUAUCCCCAGCUGCUUCCCUCCUCCCUCCUCCUCCCCUCCGCCCGCUCUCCUCUCCUCUCCUCGCUGCCAAGUCCGCAGGUUUCCCACUGUGACCUUGAGCUCGUGUUCCUGGAGCUGGUUGUGGGCUUCUUAAAGGCGCCGUGUGGGCACUGAGGGCCCCGCCUGCCGCCUCCCCAUGGGACCCAUGGAGAUGGGGCACGGGGACGUGACGGCACGGCGCGGCUGAGCCCCGUGGGCUGAGGAUCCAGCCCUGCUCGGACAGCCCAGGAUGCACUAAAAGCUCCAUCAUCCAGAGAGGACCCCAAUCGAUAGGUGCCUUCAAGGCAAGUCGUAAAACUUGGACAUUACGCCGGCACCGCUCGGCGCUCCGCGGUGAAGGCGGUGUUUAAUUCAUGGGAUUAAAUGGGAGAGAAAGGAUGGAGGCCCCAGUGCUGCUGGGAAACCCAUGAAGAAUGACCUUAGCCAUGGCUGGGGGACACUGCUGCUCGUGGGGGGAGCCCUGCAAGCACCCUGCGUUCCUGAGCACCGUGGCCAGGGCAUGAUGCAAAUACAAAUCAAUGUGUGGAAAGAGGGGUUAAGGCAAACAUUAACCAUGGGAGUCAUGAGCUGGUUCACCAGAAGGACGUGGAAAUGCCCCACCAGCACAGGGAUGGGGCUCAGGGUGGGCUCAGAGCACCCACUGGCACUGACCCCAAGCUGGGACAAGGCACACAGGUGGGGGAUGCCGCAGUGCUCCUCAAUGCCUUCUGGGUGUGUGGAGGUUGGGACUGCAGAGAUUGGCAUCGUGGCCCAGCACUGUGUCCUGUGAGAUGGGGACUGGAGCACAGAGCCUAUGGGUGGCUCAGGGAGCUGUGCCCACUGUUACAGACACGUGUGGGGAAACUGAGGCACUGAGGGUCUCAGAUGCUUAAAGAGAUGGAUAACGAGGGAGGAACCCAGCGAGGCUCAUGCCCGACAUCAGACCAACCCCACAGCAUCCCAAAGAUCUCCUCCUGCAUCACUGAACACGUAUGGGCAACACAAAGGCACCAGCUGGUGACCGAAAGGCACGGCUCCGUAGCCACGGCUCCACAGUGCUCCUGGAUGAGGACAGAUGCUGCGCCCUACGCUUGGCACAGGGUCUGUCCUGCAGGAGAUGGGAUGGCAGCACCGGGAUGGGACGAGCAGCCACUGCAGGUGGGGACGCUCAGCACAGCCCUCAGGUGAGGGGACGGAGCCGGAAUCGCUGUGCCCAAAGAGGGAGCGAUGGGACGAGGAGGAGGAGGAGGAGGCUGAGAGGAAAGAAAAAGAGAAAAAUGAGUUUUCCUGCUGCCCCAGCGGCGCGGCGAUUGAUCGGGCGCAGGUUGGUGUGGAGCGGUGCUGAGAGCCUCAUUCCCAACCGCCGGCUCACAAUUAUUGGAAAAAAACCCGUGCUGCUGCUGCAGUGAAAUUAGUUAUUGAUCUCUUGUCUGGGUGACGAGCGCGGCGCGGGGCUGCGGGGCCGCUGCUCCCCGGGGACACAGCACAGCACCGCGCUCACCCGUGGCCUUCCCGUGGACAGAGGAGGGCUGAGCGCCCCCCCGGGGUUCCCCCCACGCACCCACCCCCAAAAGCAGUGAGAUGAACGGGUUCUGCCCAUCCCCAACCCAGCCUUCCCAUUGCGGCCCCGCUGGCACUGGUUGGGGUGUCCCAGGGCAUCUCCCACCUUUGGGGCACCACGGAGGGAUGUGGGCAGCAGUUGGGGGCUUCUGUGGUCUUCGUGCCUACGGGGGGGUCGGAGCAGCCUGGGUUUGGUUUCCAAGGGGUUCAUUUUGAGUUUCAGCUUUCCUGUGGUUAAUUCAGGAGGUUCUUUUGCACGGCAUAAUGGUGUUGAUGGCUGGAGGACAGCGCUGCCAUUUCCUUGGGCAUUUUGGGGUUGUUCAACCCCCCUCUCAAAGGCUUUUCCCCCAACUAUUUUCCCCGAAAGGAAACUGCAUGAAGUGCCUUUGGGGAUGCAAAAUAACAAGUCCCUUAAUGGGACUUGGUCCCUUAAUGUCUGCUGGGGACAGUGGGCUCCGCAACACCCCCAAGCUUUGGGUUUGGACCCCCCCAUAUGGGGGCUGGAUGCUGGAUGUGGAUUGGCAUGCAGGAAUGGCACAGUCUGAUGGCAGUUCCCACGUGGAGACCCAACGGCUGCGCCUAUGGUGAGAUGCCAUGGGGAUGGGACACAGGGACAGGAGGGACAGUGGGCAGCGGGGCUCAGGGGGUGUCCCCAGGCCCUGUGAUGGGGCACUGAGCCACUCUCAGCCCCACGCUCAGCAUCCCAGACCCCAUCCACAUGGGUGUCCUGGGGGAGGCUUGGGGGGGUCCCACCCCUCUCUCUACACCCCAGACAAAGACUUGGCAACAAAAGGCUGUGGGAUGCAGGGAGGCACCCCCUGAGCCGGGGGGUAUUUGUUUAACACACGGAGGGGGGGGGGGGGAAGAGCAAGCUGCAUUUCAAAGCGGUUCCCCUUUUGUCAGCCCUUGGCAGCCCCCCUCGGCGCAACAUUCCUGGCGUGGGGCUGCGCAGGGGGUCCCGAUGGGCUCCGGUUACAGAGCGCUGCCCCAUCCCUGCAAGGCAGCUCCCGGCCCCAUGGCUGCUUUCGCAGAGGGGAGAAGGAGAGGACUGAGAAGGGAAAAUGGAAAAACGCAGCCAGAAUGUGGCAGCAGAUGGGCCUGGGAGCCCAUUCAGGGGCUCAUAAGGAGAGGGUCCCCCCAGCUCCAGGGAUUGCUUUCCACCCCCAAGCUGCCCUGGCCGUCACGGCUCCGUGUCCCGUAGUUAAGGGGAUGACCGUGUAGGGCCGUGCCGUCCCGCUCUGCCCCACGGAGCUGGCUGAAACCCACACCGAACACAGUGGCUGGGCAGAUGGAAAGACCAAAUGAUGGCUUUGCAGGGGGGCCGGGUUUGUGUGAGCCAUCCCUGUCUCGGUGAGCGACUUCGAAUAACGGAUACACUUGAGAAAAUCGCCAUCUGCUCUCGGACAAUUCGCAACCAGAGGAAAAGUGCCUCCUGCUUCCAGCUGGGCUGGAAACACCACAAAAACAGACACCUCAAUGCAGCGCUUUCGUGUUUCAAGUCCUGGAUGAAACGAGACGCAAAAGAUACAGAGCCCAUUGCGUGGGGACAGCGAUGGCGGGGCUUCACCUGGGCACGAGUGCAGAUGUACCUGCAGAAAGCUCGGCAAACCUACUGCUUUCAGCUCAAAGAUUACCUCAGUGUAAAAGAGGAGAUCUAAAGAAAAUAAGCGACCUCCAAACGCAGUGAAACAAAAAACCUUUCUGUCCAAACCAAACGUUAUGGCUUGACCUGAACUGAACAGUCAUACCAGUAUGGGGACCUUUUGGGUCCUUAUUUCUUUCACUUUGCCCGAAAGCCCCUCCUGCAUCCCCAUCUCUGUGCUAUCCUGGUCCUACUUCCACACCCAGGACAUUCUCUUUGGGCACCAACCAACACUCUUGCUUCAUUUUCCCAUCAACUUCCAUGGUUCUUCAUCCAUGGACAGACCCAUUGGACGUUCUUCCAUCCACAGACCAGACCCAGUGGAUGAUCUUCAUCAAAAGCAAGCAACACUUCAGGUCUCCUCCUUCAUGGACCUGUGAGCCUGCCCCAAGCAUCCUCCAGAGGAAGCCAUGGCCAAGAAGAGAUGGGCACCCGGAAGAUGCUGGUUGGUUUCCCUAUGGCUGCAAUAGGGGAAGCCUAUGGGGAGAGGGCUUCACAAAGAUGUUGGGUUCCAUUUCCAGCCCCCCACCCCUUGCUGGCUGUGCCAGGGCCGUGCCCUCCGACCUGAGGCAAAGAAGUGAAACCCCAGCAAAGUAGCAAACAAGUCGAGGCGUAAACACGGCACGAAUCCGCGGCGCUUCACCGCGGUUCGUUAUCUCUGGUUAGACUGGAGACGGCGGAGCCGGGUUUGAGGAGAGCAGAAAUAUCAGCAAUUAAAGAUAUGUCGUGUCAAAAAAACUCUAAACUGAUUAAAGUUGAAGGCUCCGUUUUCUUCUUUUCAUCAGAG